rnacentral:rRNA from 1 species
GAACGCUCGUAGCAAUACGGGAGUGGCAGACGGGUGAGUAACGCGUGGGAACAUACCCUCCGGUUCGGAAUAGCUCAGGGAAACUUGGAUUAAUACCGGAUACGGCUGAGAGGCGAAAGAUUUAUCGCUGAAGGAUCGGCCCGCGUCUGAUUAGCUAGUUGGUGGGGUAAUGGCCCACCAAGGCGACGAUCAGUAGCUGGUCUGAGAGGAUGAUCAGCCUCACUGGGACUGAGACACGGCCCAGACUCCUACGGGAGGCAGCAGUGGGGAAUAUUGGACAAUGGGCGCAAGCCUGAUCCAGCCAUGCCGCGUGGGUGAUGAAGGCCCUAGGGUUGUAAAGCCCUUUCGCCCGCGACGAUGAUGACGGUAGCGGGAGAAGAAGCCCCGGCUAACUUCGUGCCAGCAGCCGCGGUAAUAAU